CCCCUCUCAGGGUCACACCUGGAGAGUUUCCAGUAUUCUACCAGUCUCAAUUCUAGGAGGAAGAGUCAGGUAGAGGCCUACCCAUUCCAUUCCUAGUUCAGGCAGUGGCUAGCGAGUGGAAGGCAAUUUGCUACAAGU